AUGGGCGCGCCCCAACCCCUAGUCCAAAACAAUAAGGUGUGGAUCAUGAGCGCCUUCUCGCAACAUCUACGUCUCCCUUCUAGUGUGUCGAGAUCUCUCUCCUCCACAUUCCCCUCCUUUUCUCUCUCCAUGGCCGCCGUCGGGCCGUGCCCCUGCCACCAACACGCGCGCGGAUGCAGGCGGGAGGAGGCACUUGGCUUGAGCAGGGCUGGUUUUCGCCGCGCUGUUGCUCCGUUGGCAUGGGUUGUCGUGGUGCUCCCCUCCUCUGCGGCCCGUCACCUGAAGGUCGCUGUUGCCGGUGACGAGGACCAAUGGGAGGUCGGCGCCGCCACGGAUCUGCUCCCCAUUCCCCUCGACGAUCAUCAGAAAGGCCUCCCGGUUCCAUUAUCAUGA
rnacentral:rRNA from 1 species